GACGAGCCGUGCGAACGUUGUUCGGAUUCACUGGGCUUAAAGGGCGCGUAGGCGGCUUGCCAAGUCAGGGGUGAAAUCUUUCGGCUCAACCGGAAAACAGCUUCUGAUACUGGCGGGCUUGAGGGAGGUAGGGGCGGAUGGAACUUCCGGUGGAGCGGUGAAAUGCGUAGAUAUCGGAAGGAACGCCGGUGGCGAAAGCGAUCCGCUGGACCUCCUCUGACGCUGAGGCGCGAAAGCCAGGGGAGCAAACGGG
rnacentral:rRNA from 1 species